AUGAACGCUGGCGGCGUGCCUCAUCCCUGCCAGUCGAGCGAACAGAUGAGGAGCUUGCUCCUCUGACGUUAGCGGCGGACGGGUGAGUAACACGUGGAUAACCUACCUAUAAGACUGGGAUAACUUCGGGAAACCGGAGCUAAUACCGGAUAAUAUAUUGAACCGCAUGGUUCAAUAGUGAAAGACGGUUUUGCUGUCACUUAUAGAUGGAUCCGCGCCGCAUUAGCUAGUUGGUAAGGUAACGGCUUACCAAGGCAACGAUGCGUAGCCGACCUGAGAGGGUGAUCGGCCACACUGGAACUGAGACACGGUCCAGACUCCUACGGGAGGCAGCAGUAGGGAAUCUUCCGCAAUGGGCGAAAGCCUGACGGAGCAACGCCGCGUGAGUGAUGAAGGUCUUCGGAUCGUAAAACUCUGUUAUUAGGGAAGAACAAAUGUGUAAGUAACUAUGCACGUCUUGACGGUACCUAAUCAGAAAGCCACGGCUAACUACGUG
rnacentral:rRNA from 1 species